UACAGAGGGGGCAAGCGUUGUUCGGAAUUACUGGGCGUAAAGGGCGCGUAGGCGGCCUUCUAAGUCGAACGUGAAAUCCCCGAGCUUAACUUGGGAACUGCCGUUGAUACUAUCUGUCUUGAAUACCGUGGAGGUGAGCGGAAUAUGUCAUGUAGCGGUGAAAUGCUUAGAUAUGACAUAGAACACCGAUUGCGAAGGCAGCUUACUACAGGGAUAUUGACACUGAGGCACGAAAGCGUGGGGAUCAAACAGG
rnacentral:rRNA from 1 species